rnacentral:rRNA from 1 species
AGACCCGAAACCCGGUGAUCUAGCCAUGGGCAGGUUGAAGGUUGGGUAACACUAACUGGAGGACCGAACCGACUAAUGUUGAAAAAUUAGCGGAUGACCUGUGGCUGGGGGUGAAAGGCCAAUCAAACCGGGAGAUAGCUGGUUCUCCCCGAAAGCUAUUUAGGUAGCGCCUCGUGAAUUCAUCUCCGGGGGUAGAGCACUGUUUCGGCUAGGGGGCCAUCCCGGCUUACCAACCCGAUGCAAACUGCGAAUACCGGAGAAUGUUAUCACGGGAGACACACGGCGGGUGCUAACGUCCGUCGUGAAGAGGGAAACAACCCAGACCGCCAGCUAAGGUCCCAAAGUCAUGGUUAAGUGGGAAACGAUGUGGGAAGGCCCAGACAGCCAGGAUGUUGGCUUAGAAGCAGCCAUCAUUUAAAGAAAGCGUAAUAGCUCACUGGUCGAGUCGGCCUGCGCGGAAGAUGUAACGGGGCUAAACCAUGCACCGAAGCUGCGGCAGCGACGCUGAUGCGUUGUUGGGUAGGGGAGCGUUCUGUAAGCCUGCGAAGGUGGCCUGUGAGGGUUGCUGGAGGUAUCAGAAGUGCGAAUGCUGACAUAAGUAACGAUAAAGCGGGUGAAAAGCCCGCUCGCCGGAAGACCAAGGGUUCCUGUCCAACGUUAAUCGGGGCAGGGUGAGUCGACCCCUAAGGCGAGGCCGAAAGGCGUAGUCGAUGGGAAACGGGUUAAUAUUCCCGUACUUGGUGUUACUGCGAAGGGGGGACGGAGAAGGCUAUGUUGGCCGGGCGACGGUUGUCCCGGUUUAAGCGUGUAGGCUGGUUUUCCAGGCAAAUCCGGAAAAUCAAGGC